AUGACUUCCUUGAGGAAAGUUUUUAAUAUGGCCAAAGAACAGGAAGUUAGGGUUACCGUUACCACUUUUUCAGUUCAAGCUUCUACUCCUCCUGUUACUGAUGAUGUUCUUGCCAACACUCAAGCUUCUGAUGGAAUUAGUGCCAUUGGAAUUAAAAAUAUGAAGGAACUUGCUUCCAUUUUUGGGGAAGAGCUUGCAUAUCUCUAUAAUCUCCCUGAAGCAGAGAAGAUUUAA